rnacentral:misc_RNA from 1 species
AUAGCCUGAAGGCCCGGAACCAGUAAUCCGUGUAUAUGACUUUCAAUUAUGCACUCUCAACUGGAAAGAAACAUUCUAGGAAGGUCAUCUUUCAAAAGCCACUAAUGGGCUAAUAAUAGUCUAAGACUAAGAAUUUACAGCAUGAAGAUCCCAUACUGCACAAGAGUCUCGGCUAUAUAUAUAUAAUUCAAUUUUACUGUUUUAUGGGUCUACGCAUUAUACUUCUACAACUUAUUCGCUUAAUUAGGAGAGAAACUUGGCUUCCCCAAUUCUAAUGGAAUAUAUUAGCAGA